AUGCUAUGAUGUUAUAUUUUGUUUGAACUAUUUUGUGAAAGUAUAUUUUAUGAGCUUUUUAACCCUGAGCAUA